GUUUUUUUUCCCCUCACCCCCUUUCUACCCCACUGGCUGCUUUCAAGUUUUCUUUUAGGAGGGGCUUCACUUUGUGUUAUCCUUACAUAUAAAAAUUCCCAGUAAGUAUUUUCAGAGAUCUGUGAGGUCAUAUUAGCCUGGAUUCCCUUCAUGCUUCUCUGGUGGAGGUAUAUUUGUUAUUUUGUCACCUAUCGGAGGCCCUGAUAUAGCUGCAGGUGACUGGGAAGGGACAUCCUUCCUUUGUAGCAGUAAAAUACUCACAGCCUCCUUUAUCACAGAACGUGCACCCUGCAACAGCCUCUAAGGGAAUGAAAGCAGAAAAAUGCUGCAGCUGCCAUGAAGAGGCAAAAAUUGAAACUAGCUCCAGAUUUAAAUUUCAGAGAGAUUCAAACAUCAGCAUUCUCAGCACUACCUUUUCAAAAAUACAACGCAGGGGAGUUCUGCCCAGUAUAGGAACAAGCUACUAAUGAGCAGAGGAGAACUUCAUCCCAGAAGAUAGUUAUUAGAAAUCAAGGUGGAGGUAAAUGUAGCUUGAAAGAUCCAACCAAAACUGUCUGCCAAACAUACUGCUUUUUGAUAAUUGUGGCCUUCCAUAUACUCCAGCUACCUUUUAAUCAGUGGGAAUUUGUUUACAGGAGAAUUCUGAGAUCUGGUAACUUUCCUAUCCCUUUUCCAGGCUAUCUGUUUACCUUCUGGUAUCUCAGAAGCAUUCAGCAAAUAAGUCUCCAGAAAGACUGUUUGAGAACAGCUCCUACACAAGACUGUAACAAUAUAAGGAGGUGCACUUCAGAGUAGAAAUAUGAACCCUAAUAAUAGGUUUUUACUUAACAAUAUAAUCUCAUUUUAGAAUUCUUGGGUUUGCCUCCUUCCAAAACAGCUGUGCUGUCUUGAUAAGAUUUUUAGGUUAUAAACAAGCAAAUAAAUAUCAGAAAUUGGACUUGUACAUGAAUAGGACCUAACAUUAUUAUUUCCACUUCCUUCCCUUCCCCCCCCCCAACCCCCCCAAGUAUUUUCAUAGUCACACAUUUUCCUGUAAAGUGUAACCAUUACUGACCCCAUUACUAACAAAUCUCUCAGAAAACCCCACUUAAUAGGGAGAAACAUGAAAACCUCAAGAAACAAAAGGUAUCUGAUUUCCAAACAGAAUGCCUAUUUAAGACCAAACCUCAUUAGGGACAAGUCCUCCAGGCAAACAUCCUCUCAUUAUUUAUUGUCAUGGUUUACUGCAGAUUCCUCCGUGUAAUUCACAGUUGGCUUUUAAAUAAAUCUCUCUGUAUGGUAAAUGUGAUAUUCCUUCAUUUAAGCAGCAGGGUUAUCUUAAAACUGAGCAAGACCAAAAUUUCAUAUUUCAAAACUCAUAAACAGCUUAGAGCAUGACAGUAAUGCAAUGACGAGAAGAAAAAGUAUGACUGACAACAUAUGGUUGAAGAGUUUGGUAGCAGUGGUUAUACAAUGUAAUUCAUUUCAUGAUAAUAUAAGUCAGACUGCAAAGCAAAAGCAAUUAGGAAAUAAGUGAUGAUAAUGAAGAAUUACUCAUGGUGAGGAACUUCUCUAUAGUGGAAGGAUGGUUCUGUGUUCUAAUCAACAGUUAAGGCCUUAAAGCCCUGGAUUUAAAGCUCAGUAUCCUAUCCUUGGUCCUGAUUUUUAGAGGGUCAGUUGGGCCCAAGAGUAUGAAAAGUUCUGAGGUACUCUCAUCUGUUGGUGAAAUUGGUCCACAACUCCUACAGCUCAAGUGAGCAUCUGGAAAUGGGCAGGAGACAGCUGGAAGCUGGAAAGCUUCUCUUUCUCCUAAGGCAUACUGUGGUUUCCUUGCUUAUCUUAUCCAGGAGAUGGAAGUCUGGGAGAUCUCCCUACAUACUUUAAUCACAUCAAAGGGUUAACUAUGAUUUUGCCUAAGAUGAAAAGUGCUUGACCAUGAAUUCCAAUUCUUAUUGCAAUAAGAUGCUGAGAAUGGUUAAAGGAGCCCGGAGUACCUCCAUAAUUUGCAUCUCUGAUUAGAACAGGGUGAAGUUCUCUUCAAGGAGAAAGUCCUCUGGUGUGAUCCAUUUUUCUCCUGUAGCUAAAAAUUCUUGGGCUGAUUCAGCACCUGGGCUGAUGAGUUGGCCCCUGGAAGCACUCACCAUGGUUGCUCUUGAGGAAGCUGGAGGGGCAGCGCAGCGGAAAGUUUCUCUCCUCACCAGAGGACAUGCACGCAGCCCAGUGCUUGCCAGGACAAUGCCUCCUCCAUCCCUUUCUUGGCUCAGAGCACAGCGUCUACCACUACUCAUAAAAAAUACUGUCUCUUAAAUUUCAUAUUUACCACUUUGCGUAACAGAUUUUCCUAAACAAACAGAAAGCUGAUCAGGAUAAAUACCAGAAUAAGUGAAAACAGUUGUUUUUAAUCUCAGUGUGUUGAAUGCAGAUAUUGGCGUGAACAGAUUGCCUUUUUUAGUACACCUAUUAUAGUGUCACACCCAUUCUUUGCUGAAUGCAUACCUAUGAGACAGUGUGUGUGUGUGUGUGUGUGUGUAAUAAAACCCCUGGAUUAUUAAGCAUUUUUUCUAUUCUGCUAUGUCAGUCCAAAUUCACUUUGAAUACAAGAAUGAUGGAAUUGUUCAAUAUAUUGUGUGCAGAAGGUUACGACCUCUGCAGUCAGCCCCUGAAACACCACUGCUGUCUUCUUACUUCUGGGGUAGCUGAAAUGAAUUACAAGGCAGAGUCAUAAAGCCAGAACAUUUUACUAAAGCUAAGACCUCUGAAUAUGCAGUAUUUAAGCAUUUUUGUCCUCUCUCUCGUUCCCAAAUUACUUAAAAUCUGUGUAAGAUUUCAAAGAUGAAAACCAAGCAUACUGUUUUCACUUUUUAUCUUGUUUUUGAACAAGGUUUCAAUUCAACAACAGCUCAAAUGGGUGAAUAGCCUUUUGCAUGUAAUAAAAAUACCACAAUUUCUUCAUCCUUUUGUGUACACGCAUGGAAAGAGACAUCUUAAAAUUGUUAUCAUACAUAUCAUCAAGUAGAAAGACUUGGGUAUGAUUGGUUUGAAUGCUGUGGAGGAUAUACCACACUGAGCCACUCUUGUAACCCAGCCCAAAGGAUGGGUGAAUGCUUAUUGUUUGAAGGGGACAGAAGGAAUACUGUCAGUGAAAAUCAAAGACAAAAGUAAAACUGCCUUCCUCUGCACGUGAAGACAGUUCUUGUUAGUGCACAGACUGACCCAGACAAAUUGGAACACCUAGUGGAAAGUUAUCAUCUCCCCUCUGCAUUUCCACAUUAAUUGAACAUAGGCAAGAGCUCCAAACAAUCAGUUACUUUUCUUCCACACACACAGCAUCAGAAGGACACUCAAAAGAUAACCGACAAGCUAAAAUUCAAGUUACUGAAAUUUAUGAUUGCUGGCUGUUAUUCAGUAAAGUAUUUUAACACCAAAAUUUUAAUAAAGCUGCCGUAAAUAUUCCGUGCCCAUGGUGCCAAGGUUCAGCAGAUUCCUCUGUUAACACAACAGGUCUAACCGAGGGAACUUGAAGACUUCUCUGGCAAGAUCCUCUGAACAGAUGCAACUUGAAUAAUCUUUUGAAAAAUAAAGCCCUAUUUCCCCAUGCCUCAAUGGUACAAGGCCUCAAGGAAAAUGCAGACACAGCAAAAGGCCUAAAAGCCCAAUCUUAACCUCAGCACGCUCAGGGAAGAGCACUCUGCCUCCAAUUUGGGGAAGUCCAGGCUGUCCCACUCACAAAACGUUCUCUUUGUUCUCCACAGGAAUCACCUUGUACUGCUGAUAACUCACUUCUUUCCAAGGGUUUCAGGUUUAGGAUUCCCUUUGAUGCUAGAUUCACUGCUGGGAACAGUAAACUACUCUAGCUUUGAUGGAGCUGCAAUUAUUGCCUAUUGUCAGCUCUUCCGUUGUUUCCUCUAAAACUCUUAUUUAUGUCACCAUUUCAUUUUGGAUAGGUUUCCGCCUUGUUCCUUUCUGAUUUCAAUAAUGCCAUUCAGGGAAGUUAUAAAUCAGACAGCCUGAGGAGCACAUAUCAUUUUGAUAUAAGAAAUACAACAUGUCCUCAUUCUUUUUGCUAUAACAUACACGACUGAAAUCGCAUCAGCCACACCGGCGGUCCUUUGUCAGCUCUGCCUCUGCCUGUGCUGUUGCUACUGGAGUGGCAGCUGCAGUGAGAAUCACGAGAGCACAGAAGCAGUCUGGUGUGGGGCCGAGGGGUGUCCUGUUCUGCACACGUGUUGGCGCCGACAUGCCCGAGGAUUUCAGCUGCUUUGGAGCAUUUAAGUGUUACAUCGGGAGCCUAGUCUGGUAAUGGUAACCUAAGCUACAAGCAGCAGGGAGGUAUUUGUGCUGUGCUUUGCUUAGAGAAGCAUUUCGAGCCUGUGACACUGUCUGACACUGACUGAUUAAGAUACAGGUACUGCGGCGCUGUCAGGAAAGAAGAAAGAGGACUUGCAGUGCUGUUGCUGCUCACGGAUCUCCAGCAGAGCAGCAGCAAGGCACCAGCACACAGCAGCACCGUGCUCCGCCACCUCUUCUGAGAAUUACUGCCUAGCCAACCCUGAAGCGAUUCAGUAUGCACCACAUUUCCAGCACAGCCUGCCCCUCCACACAGACUCUGAAGGCUAUAUACCACGGGUGAUCAGAGCCUCAUGACAGGGGAGGGGAUUGUGAUGGAAAGAGUCAAAGGAGCUUUGAGAAGGACAAAAAUCUGAACACACUAAUGAGUUUUAUCAGGAAACCAUUAGGAAGACUGCUGCUGCAGCAAACAAGACCAGAACCUAACAGGGAGAGAAAGAGAGCUACCAAGCUAUGCUACAGAUACAGACAGGUCUUCAUUUUCUCUAUGGCUUUAAAGACUGCCAUUUUUAAAAAGGAAGCAUUCAAAUCUCUCUCUGAAACUCCUUUUUCUGGGUAUCCCCAAAGCUCACUCUACACCAUUGGUGUGAACUGUGAAAGGGAUUGCUUUGCCAGGCAAAGACAUUUAUCACUUGUGUAUUCUGUCUUGAGGAUAGGCUUUUCAGUUUUACUUAAAUUCUUGGGGCUUUCCCUGGUAGAAGAGACAGGUUCCCCUCCCCAUACCUUCUCUUGGCAAGUGAUGAAGUGUUAUUUUCUGAGGGUGAUGCUGAAGCACUCAGAAACAGUCACACAAGUUUUUAUCCAGGGUGUCCAGACUUAGGAAUGCCCUUCAGCUCAGAUCUACAUUUUCUGCCUUUUGGGAUCACCUCUCCUCCUUAUAGCUUGUGCUGGCAGGAAUACAAGCAACAAAAAGAAGUCUCAGCUGUCAUCAGAAACCUGAGAUCACUUCAGACUAUAGUUCUCAUUUGUGUGCCAAACCAGGUGCGUUUGUCGUCUUUGUGGUGCAAGUGUCCUUGUCCUCCAUGAGGCAGAGGCUGGAGGAGACUGGAAGGAUUCUGCUCUUCCUUGCACCAGGAAGGAGGCUCCUGGAAGCCCAGGAGCCUCUGUUCUCCAUUACAACUGUGCUGUUUUCAUCUUGGCUUUCUCAAUAAAUAUUUAGUGGACAAUUCACAUUUUCCCUCCUGCUCUGACUAACAGAGUUGAUUAUUGCUAGGGUCAGGUGAUUACAUGAGCUACUUAAUAUUCACAGGCAGCAGUAGGAAAUAAGUACAAACCCCAUCUCCUCAGCUUUAAUUACAAUAUCAGUGUUAUCAAAUUCCAUGUGGAUACACCUCCCAAAUCAGCUCCAAACAAUUUCAGAUGCGUAUACUAACAAGAUCCACAACAUCUUUAACUCCUGAUCUUCUGUCAUUACAAUAUAAUUACUCUAAUGCAUCUUUACUGCACAACACCCAUCGAAAAUAAGAACCGUUGAGUAUACCAUGUAAUUAUAGAAUAAAGAUGUUAAUGUAAGCUUCCAGCUUAAAGUGACUCUCAGCAUUUUUCUAGUUCCAUUAUUCAACAUUCAUUGGCAACUUGACUCCAACCUGCUCCCCUUCCUCUGUGUUUUCAUGACAUACUUAUGCAAUUCUGGCACUGCAGUGUCCCAGGUAGCAUUGAAACCCCAAUAGAAAUACUGCUUAAGAUUCAAUAAGGUGGCAAUAAAGUGGCCAAGGCUUUUUGAUUUUAGCUCUGGGGAUAGAGGUGAGAAAUAGAGAAAGGUGAGUCAGGGAAGAGACAAUGCAGUUUGCACCUUGCUGAGCUAUGGGUCAGUCUGGGCCUUGUGUAAACAUGACAGAAGAGGUUAGGAGAGAGAUGAUAGAGAACUGGUAUUGGCUAAUUAAGAUAGGGAAUAACCUUAAUUAAAUGCUGACAGAGGAAGAAACAAAAGUCAACUAGUUAGGGAGAACAGGAUAAGCUUCAGCUGGCCUUUUGGCAAGGAGAAAUGUCUGUAUUUCAGAAGACAAAGCAUAAGCCAGUGGAAUAACUGAGUCCAAGCCAUAAGGAUUACCUCUCCUAACUAUAGCUCUGCAAGCAAACAGAAAGACAAAUAAGAACUCUCUGGUGUGUUUGAUUUCCAGGAAUUGACUAAGAUAGGAAAGAACAAGAUGGAUAAUACAGAAAGUUUUGGAGAAGAAGCAUUCCUCCUCUGAAAGAGAUGAUGUCAGUGCAGCCAACCCUGGGAGUUCAAAAAUCAGAAGACAAACCAAAAUAGAAUCACAGGAUUGAUAUCAAAGAUAACAAUCUUCUCACAAGAGUGACAAGAGCUUCACUGCAAGAUUGUAUUAAAUAUGGAUGUUCUUGCACAGAUAUCAGCAAAUUGAGGGUGAAGAUUGAUUCCAGUGGUCUUGCAAUCAGACUGUAAAUCAAGGGAGUUGAGACUGACAGCAUUUCAUUGGUAUGACCAAGAGAAGAGCCAGAUCAUUCUUUGCCGAGCUGUAGGACUAUGGAGAACCAUUCUAAUAUUUCUUACUCUCUUACUACUUCACUAUUGAUAUUGUGGCAGGAUUUGUAAUACCAUUAGGCUGUGAUGCCAAGAGCAAUCCUUUUAAAGAGUGUGACACCGAAUACAGUCUGUGGCAAAUGAUGCCUUCAGUUAGAAAGUCUAAAUGUGACAGAACUCUUCCAGAACCUUUUACAGAGAGUGUCUUGACCAAAAAGUGACAAAAGAGAAAACGCUGCUUCAGCCUCUGUAACACAGCACUGAGACAGAAAAAUCUCAACUGAAAAUUCCUUUCUGUGCAAUGAUUGAUCUCACUUUCAUUUAAAGUACUGUAAGUCACAAGGAAUCAUUGAAAUCAGUUGGAACUACAGCCCUAUACAUUAGAUGUCAUAGGUAUAAAAAAUAUUUUAAGAUAUUUUUACUGGGUCACUUAGCUCUGCUCCUUAGUUUUAUUUUGGUGCUAACAUUUAUCAGCCUUGCUUGUCCAAACUAACUCUUAAAAUAGAAAUAUUUAGUGAAGUUUGACAGAAAUUAGCAUACUGCACUGGAUAUUCAAAUAGCAAGUAAUACAGAAUUUGUCACAGUGGGUCCAUCUACUAUUCUAUGGCUCCUCUUAUACUUCAUAUGACCAUAAAACAUCUAAAUGACAGUAAGAAAAAGAAGUGUAGAAGUGUUCCUUCUUCAUCAUAUUUAUCUGACUCUGAAAUUUGAUCAUCUGUACAAUCACAGCUACAAAUAGUAUUAGUAAUUAAAUUACUCAGCUCUAUUAGAUAAGGACACAUUACCUGUUUUCUGUACCACUGAAAAUUUCAUGGACUACCCUAGAUAAAAUACCCUAUUCUAGAUAAAAUAUUUCCUUUUAUUUGUCCUAAGUUCACUGCCUAUAAUUGCACAAGAUAUUUCUUUCAUUGAAAUAGGGAAUGCAGAAAACACCCCUACCGCCCUUCUGAAUACUGGACUGUUUUCCAACUGCUUCCUACUCUUGCCAAACAAAACCACUCUAGGAUGAGAAAACACACUUUUGAGAAGCAUCUGUCAUACCAACAUGGUGUCAUGAAAGAACUAUAAUAAAUGAGGAAUUCUGUGCUUCUGGUUAUUAUACUGAUUUGCUAGAAACUUGGCCUCUUUGUUUUUGGUGGUUGUUUUUGGGUGGGUUGGAUUUAUUGUGGUUUUUUGUUAUUGUUUAAGAAUACACCACAAAUACACAAUAUUAUUUUCAUGGGGUUUUGUUCCUCUAGAAAUCAUUUUAUCUGGUCAUAAUUUAGGAUCUCUAAAAAUGCAUCUCCAAGUGUGAUCCAGUUUUCUGUUGUAAUGCUGCAAACAGAUGGAAUUAAAAUAAUACUGAUGAAAUUGACAGUGUUUUGCAUCACUACUGGUUCACUGAUCACUGUGUAUUCCACUACUAUCUGUAUGCAAGGCCUUCAACACCAUACAUGUAUAAAUAUUAAAUUUAAUGGAAUUAAAUG
ensembl:lncRNA